rnacentral:tRNA from 1 species
GCGUGGGUGGCGGAAUUGGUAGACGCACUGGAUUUAGGUUCCAGCGCCGCAAGGCGUGCGGGUUCGAUUCCCGCCCCGCGCACCA